UUACGGCUAUGUCACGUUGAAACACCGGUUCUCGUACGAUGGCCGAAGUUAAGCAACGUCGAGCCUGGUCAGUACCUAGAUGGAUGACCACUUGACGAUAUCAAGUACCGUA